rnacentral:rRNA from 1 species
AGGGUUCGAGUGAGAGCAUUACCUGUCGGGACCCGAAGAUGAUGAACUAUGCCUGAGCGGGGCGAAAGCCAGAGGAAACUCUGGUGGAGGCCCGAAGCGAUACUGACGUGCAAAUCGUUCGUCUGACUUGGGUAUAGGGGCGAAAGACUAAUCGAACCGUCUAGUUAGCUGUGUUCCCUCCCGAAGUUUCCUCAGGAUAGCUGGAGCUGUGAAUGCGAGUUUCUAUCGGGUUAAAGCCAAUGAUUAGAGGCAUGGGGCGCAACGCCCUCGACCUAUUCUCAACUUUAAAUAGGUAGGACGUCGCGGCUGCUCGUUGAGCCGCGAAACGGAAUCGAGAGCUCCAAGUGGGCCAUUUUUUGGUAAGCAGAACUGGCGAUGCGGAUGAACCGGAUAGGCCGGGUUUACGGUGCGGAACAUGCGCGCUACCUAGAUCCACAAAGGGUGUUGGUCGAUUAAGACAGCAGGACGUGGUCAUGGGACGUCGAAAUCCGCUAAGGAGUGUGUAACAACUCAACUCUGCGCUGAAUCAACUACCCCGAAAAAUGGAUGCGCUUAAGCGCGCGACCUACACCCGGCCGUGCGGGGCUAAGUGCCAGGCCCGAUGAGUAGGAGGGGCGCGGCGGUCGGCCGCAAAGCCUGUGGCGCAGCCAGGGCGGGAGCGGCCGUCGGUGCAGAUCUUGGUGGUAGUUAGCAAAAUAUUCAAGUGAAGAACUUUGAAGGCCGAACGAGGGGAAAUAAGGUUCCAUGUUGAACGGCACUUGCCACAUGGGGUUUAGUCGUAUCCUAAGAAGACGGGGAAGCCCGUCCGACGCGCGCGCCACGCGCGAGCUUCGAAAGGGAAUCGGGUUAACAUUCCUGAACCGGGACGUGGCGGCUGACGGCAACGUUAGGGAGUCGGAGACGUCGGCGGGGGCCUCGGGAAAGAGUUAUCUUUUCUGUUUAACAGCCUGCCCCACCCUGGAAAGCGGCUUCAGCCGGAGUAAGGGUCCAGCGGCCGGAAAGAGCACCGCACGUCGCGUGGUGUCCUGUGCGCCCCCGCGGCCUUGAAAAUCGGAGGACCGAGUGCCGACCACGCCCGGUCGUACUCAUAAAACCGCAUCAGGUCUCCAAGGUGAAACAGCCUCUGGUCGAUGGAACAAUGUAGGCAAGGGAAGUCGGCAAAAUGGGAUCCGUAAACUUUAGGGAAAAGGAUUGGCUCUGAGGGCUGGGCACGGGGGUCCCAGUCCCGAACCCGUCGGCUGUCGGUGACUGCUCGAGCUGCCUCCGCGCGAGAGCGGGUUCCCGCGUGCGCCGGGGACGGACAUGGGAACGGCUCCCUCGGGGCCUUCCCCGGCGUCGAACAGCGACUCAGAACUGGUACGACAAGGGGGAAUCCGACUGUUAAUUAAAACAAAGCAUUGCGAUGGUCCCUGAGGAUGCUAACGCAAUGUGAUUUCUGCCCAGUGCUCUGAAUGUCAAAGUUGAAGAAAAUUCAAACAAGCGCGGGUAACGGCGGGAGUAACUAUGACUCUCUUAAGGUAGCCAAAUGCCUCGUCAUCUAAUUAGUGACGCGCAUGAAUGGAUUAACGGAGAUUCCCACUGUCCCUGUCUACUAUCCAAGCGAAACCACAGCCAAGGGAACGGGCUUGCGAAUCAGCGGGGAAAGAAGACCCUGUUGAGCUGAUCUAGUCCGACUUGUGAAAUGACUUGAGAGGUGUAGGAUAAGUGGAGCCCUCGGGCAAAAGUGAAAUACCACUACUUUUAACGUUAUUUACUUACUCGUGAGUCGGAGGCGGGGCAUGCCCCUCUUUUUUUGACCAAGGCCCGCCCAGCGGGCCGAUCCGAGCGGAGGACAUUGUCAGGUGGGGAGUUUGGCUGGCGGUCACAUCUGUAAAAAUAACGCAGGUGUCCUAAGAUGAGCUCGACGAGAACAGAAAUCUGCGUGUGGAACAGAAGGGUAAAAGCUCGUUUGAUCUGAUUUUUAAGUAACGAAUACGAACCGUGAAAGCUUUGGCCUACGAUCCUUUAGACCUUCGGAGAUUUGGAAGCUAGAGGUGUCAGAAAAGUUACCACAGGGAUAACUGGCUUGUGGCAGCAAGCGUUCAUAGCGACGGUUGCUUUUUGCAUCCUUCGAUGUCGGGCUCUUCCCUAUCAUUGUCGAAUGCAGAAUUCACCAAGUGUUGGAUUGUUCACCCACCAAUAGGGAACGUGAGCUGGGGUGUAGACCCGUCGGUGAGACAGGUUAGUUUUUUACCCUACUUGAUGACAGUGUUCGCUAGAUUGAGCGUAAUUCAACCCAAUAGUGAGCGGAGAGUGAAUGACGCCGUCGAUUCGCCAAUUGGGUCUUUCGCGCUUGGGUUUGAAAAGCCAGUGGCGCGAAGCUACCGUGACGCUGAUUAUGACUGAACGCCUCUAUCAAGAAUCCAUGCGCACGGUAGCUUCGCGCCACUGGCUUUUAAACAAGCGCGAAGACCAAUUGUGCGAAUCAACGUUCCUCUUCGUACUAGUUGAUACCAUCGCGACACUGUUCAUUCAGUAGGGUAAAACUAACCUGUCUCACACGGUUCU